rnacentral:rRNA from 1 species
UACGGGGGGAGCAAGCGUUGUUCGGAUUUACUGGGCGUAAAGGGCGCGUAGGCGGUCAGCACAAGUCAGUUGUGAAAUCUCCGGGCUUAACUCGGAAAGGUCAACUGAUACUGUGCGACUAGAGUGCAGAAGGGGCAACUGGAAUUCUCGGUGUAGCGGUGAAAUGCGUAGAUAUCGAGAGGAACACCUGCGGCGAAGGCGGGUUGCUGGGCUGACACUGACGCUGAGGAGCGAAAGCAUGGGGAGCGAACAGG